UACGUAGGGUGCAAGCGUUAAUCGGAAUUACUGGGCGUAAAGCGUGCGCAGGCGGUUUUGUAAGUCUGUCGUGAAAUCCCCGGGCUUAACCUGGGAAUGGCGAUGGAGACUGCAAGGCUAGAGUUUGGCAGAGGGGGGUAGAAUUCCACGUGUAGCAGUGAAAUGCGUAGAGAUGUGGAGGAACACCGAUGGCGAAGGCAGCCCCCUGGGUCAAGACUGACGCUCGAUGCACAAAGCGUGGGGAGCAAACAGG
rnacentral:rRNA from 1 species